rnacentral:tRNA from 1 species
AGGGACUUAGGAUAAAGCCCAAGACCAAGAGCCUUCAAAGCUUUAAGCAGGAGUGAAAAUCUCCUAGUCCCUG